UCUAAGGCUUGGGAGUCUAAAUCUCAGUAACUUCCAGUCUCAGAUGUCGGACAUCUCAGACAGACGAGACUUCAGGCCUUGGCAUGCUUUCAGGAAGUCACCAACAGAUAUUGCCAAGAAAAGAAAUCUACAUUGUGCCGAAUGUUUAUCAUCAAUGCUGGCCCUGGUUUUAGGUUGCUGUGGAGGACAGUGUAGUCUUUUAUCGAUAGAAAAACCACUUCAAAGAUUCAUG